UUCCGGUUGAUCCUGCCGGACCUUACUGCUAUCGGGGUGGGACUAAGACAUGCGAGUCGAGCGUCUCUAGCUAUGUUGAGACGCGGCAGACGGCUCAGUAACACGUGGCUAACCUACCCUCAGGACGAGGAUAAACCCGGGAAACUGGGGCUAAUACUCGAUAGGUGAGAAUGUCUGGAAUGAUUUCUCAUUCAAAGGGCUUUAGAAACAUGCUUCUAAAGUCGCCUGGGGAUGGGGCCGCGUCCGAUCAGGUUGUUGGUGAGGUAACGGCUCACCAAGCCUAUAACCGGUACGGGCCGUGAGAGCGGUAGCCCGGAGAUGGGUACUGAGACAAGGACCCAGGCCCUACGGGGCGCAGCAGUCGCGAAAACUCCGCAAUGCACGAAAGUGUGACGGGGCUACCCCGAGUGCCAUCCGCUGAGGAUGGCUUUUCUUUGGUGUAACUAGCCGGGGGAAUAAGGAGAGGGCAAGACUGGUGUCAGCCGCCGCGGUAAUACCAGCUCUCCGAGUGGUAGGGAUGAUUAUUGGGCUUAAAGCGUCCGUAGCCGGCUUAGCAAGUCUCCUGUUAAAUUCAGCGACCUAAUCGUUGAGCCGCGGGAGAUACUACUAGGCUAGGAGGCGGGAGAGGUCGACGGUACUUCUGGGGUAGGGGUGAAAUCCUAUAAUCCCGGGAGGACCGCCAGUGGCGAAGGCUGUUGACUAGAACGCGCUCGACGGUGAGGGACGAAAGCUGGGGGAGCGAACCGGAUUAGAUACCCGGGUAGUCCCAGCCGUAAACGAUGCGGGCUAGGUGUUGGGGUGGCUACGUGCCACUUCAGUGCCGCAGGGAAGCCAUUAAGCCCGCCGCCUGGGGAGUAUGGGCCGCAAGGCUGAAACUUAAAGGAAUUGGCGGGGGAGCACCACAAGGCGUGAAGCUUGCGGUUCAAUUGGACUCAACGCCGGU
rnacentral:rRNA from 1 species